rnacentral:rRNA from 1 species
AGCGGCGGACGGGUGAGUAACACGUGGGUAACCUGCCCAAGAGACUGGGAUAACACCUGGAAACAGAUGCUAAUACCGGAUAACAACACUAGACGCAUGUCUAGAGUUUGAAAGAUGGUUCUGCUAUCACUCUUGGAUGGACCUGCGGUGCAUUAGCUAGUUGGUAAGGUAACGGCUUACCAAGGCAAUGAUGCAUAGCCGAGUUGAGAGACUGAUCGGCCACAUUGGGACUGAGACACGGCCUAAACUCCUACGGGAGGCAGCAGUAGGGAAUCUUCCACAAUGGACGAAAGUCUGACGGAGCAACGCCGCGUGAGUGAAGAAGGGUUUCGGCUCGUAAAGCUCUGUUGGUAGUGAAGAAAGAUAGAGGUAGUAACUGGCCUUUAUUUGACGGUAAUUACUUAGAAAGUCACGGCUAACUACGUGCCAGCAGCCGCGGUAAUACGUAGGUGGCAAGCGUUGUCCGGAUUUAUUGGGCGUAAAGCGAGUGCAGGCGGUUCAAUAAGUCUGAUGUGAAAGCCUUCGGCUCAACCGGAGAAUUGCAUCAGAAACUGUUGAACUUGAGUGCAGAAGAGGAGAGUGGAACUCCAUGUGUAGCGGUGGAAUGCGUAGAUAUAUGGAAGAACACCAGUGGCGAAGGCGGCUCUCUGGUCUGCAACUGACGCUGAGGCUCGAAAGCAUGGGUAGCGAACAGGAUUAGAUACCCUGGUAGUCCAUGCCGUAAACGAUGAGUGCUAAGUGU